UACGUAGGGGGCGAGCGUUGUCCGGAUUUAUUGGGCGUAAAGAGCGUGUAGGCGGCCAGGUAGGUCUGCUGUGAAAACUCGAGGCUCAACCUCGAGACGUCGGCGGAAACCAUCUGGCUAGAGUCCGGAAGAGGAGAGUGGAAUUCCUGGUGUAGCGGUGAAAUGCGCAGAUAUCAGGAAGAACACCCGUGGCGAAGGCGGCAUCCUGGACCAACACUGACGCUGAGUGAGCGAAAGCCAGGGGAGCAAACGGG
rnacentral:rRNA from 1 species